rnacentral:rRNA from 1 species
GUCCACACCGUAAACGAUGAUUACUAGGUGUUGGAGGAUUGACCCCUUCAGUGCCGCAGUUAACACAAUAAGUAAUCCACCUGGGGAGUACGACCGCAAGGUUGAAACUCAAAGGAAUUGACGGGGGCCCGCACAAGCAGUGGAGUAUGUGGUUUAAUUCGACGCAACGCGAAGAACCUUACCAAGUCUUGACAUCCUGCGACGGUUCUGGAAACAGAACUUUCCUUCGGGACGCAGAGACAGGUGGUGCAUGGUUGUCGU